GUGCUCGCUUCGGCAGCACAUAUACUAAGAUU
rnacentral:snRNA from 1 species